GAGGGAUUUAGAGGCACUUAAGAGGAAGCCCUCUCAGAUUUUCUCUUUUUUAAUGACUAAUAACCAUCAGUAGGUGGGCUGUGAAGUAUGAGUCCUUCACCUGAAGAAGUGGUGAACUGAAUGAACUCAGCAAAUUCAAUGAACUCAAUAUCAUUCCUAUCAUGGUACAUUCCCAUCUGUUUUUCCCGGAGCAGCCUGCAAGAAGCACAGCUGCUCACUGGGAAGUGACAUUAACUUUCUCUUUGUAAAGGGGAUGCUGGCAGGCUGAAUGACUGGGAGAUGUCUUGGGAGGAGCCAAAAAGCGGCUGAGAGGGAGAGGAGCUGAAGAGUGAAGACAGGGGUGACAAUGAUUUCAGCUGGAAGUCAAAAAAAGUCAAAGACAGAAGCAGAAAUACCGUGAGAAAGAAUAAACCCAAAGCAUUUCAAGCCGAGUGCAAUACAAGAGGGGCAGCUUCCAAGAGUCCACCCCGUGCUGUGACCUUCACAGAUUGGUGUGGACUCCAGGACAGCAGUAGCCAAGCCACCUACGUCACCUCAGCUGUAAACAGAGCUCCCUCACACCCCUCCCUUGCUGCCUGCCACACACCCUUCUUCUUUCCUCCAAAAGACGUGAUUUUCUGGAGGAGGCCAAGCUCUGCUUACCAAUUACAUCAGCUCCCCUUGGUGAGCACAUAUGCUUCCACUUGAGAGGCUUGUUUCGUUUGCUUCUUGUCUCUGUAAAAAGGGGUUUCCUUGAAAACUGUUCUUCCAAGUGUGUUGCCUAUGUUUUUCUCAUUACAACUGAUAUUUUCCUUUUC